rnacentral:rRNA from 1 species
CCUACGGGAGGCAGCAGUGAGGAAUAUUGGUCAAUGGACGAGAGUCUGAACCAGCCAUGCCGCGUGCAGGAUGACGGCUCUAUGAGUUGUAAACUGCUUUUGUACGAGGGUAAACCCCGAUACGUGUAUCGGGUUGAAAGUAUCGUACGAAUAAGGAUCGGCUAACUCCGUGCCAGCAGCCGCGGUAAUACGGAGGAUCCGAGCGUUAUCCGGAUUUAUUGGGUUUAAAGGGUGCGUAGGCGGUUUGAUAAGUUAGAGGUGAAAUGUCGGGGCUCAACCCCGAAACUGCCUCUAAUACUGUUGGACUAGAGAAUAGUUGCGGUAGGCGGAAUGUAUGGUGUAGCGGUGAAAGGCUUAGAGAUCAUACAGAACACCGAUUGCGAAGGCAGCUUACCAAACUAUAUCUGACGUUGAGGCACGAAAGCGUGGGUAGCAAACAGGAUUAGAUACCCCAGUAGUC